AGUCUGAGACAGGACACAGCAUGGCCAUGAGGGCCCCUGCCAAGCUCCUGGUGCUCCUGCUCCUCUGGCUCCCAGGUGUGAGAUGUGACAUCCAGAUGACACAGCAUACCUCCUCCCUGUCUGCAUCUCUAGGAGACAGAGUCACCAUCACCUGCAGGGCCAGUCAGACCAUUGGCAUAGGUUUAGCCUGGUACCAACAGAAACCAGGGCAAGCUCCUAAGCUCCUCAUCUAUCAUGCAAACAAUUUGGAAUCUGGGGUUCCCUCCAGGUUCAGUGGCAGUGGAUCUGGCACAGAUUUCACUCUCACCAUCAGCAGCCUGGAGCCUGAAGAUUUUGCCACUUACUACUGUCAACAGUAUAAAGGUUACCCUCCCACAGUGAUAUAG